rnacentral:rRNA from 1 species
UACGAAGGGGGCUAGCGUUGCUCGGAAUCACUGGGCGUAAAGCGCACGUAGGCGGGUCUUUAAGUCAGGGGUGAAAUCCUGGAGCUCAACUCCAGAACUGCCUUUGAUACUGAGGAUCUUGAGUUCGGGAGAGGUGAGUGGAACUGCGAGUGUAGAGGUGAAAAUUCGUAGAUAUUCGCAAGAACACCAGUGGCGAAGGCGCUCACUGGCCG